rnacentral:rRNA from 1 species
GUCUACGGCCAUACCGCCCUGAGCAAGCCGGAUUCCGUCCGAUCUCGGAAGCUAAGCAGGGUCGGGGCCGGGUUGGGAGGUGGAGGGGGAACCACCAGGAGAG